CGUCUGUAGCAUCAGCGCCCAAGGCACCCGACAAUAGUGGACUCGUCAGUAACCUCAGAAACAUCCGAGCCUCUCUUAGACUGCUAAGAUCGAGAACCAGUCUGCUCCAUUAGACGUCCCAGUCGAGCUUCAGCCAUCCAGCCCGAACUCUUUGGCAAGUCGCGAUAAUGGCCACUACCCCACUCUACUCUCUGUAACAGAUUCCACGUGGCCCCACCACUCUCUGACAAGUCACGACAACGGCCCCC
rnacentral:lncRNA from 1 species